rnacentral:rRNA from 1 species
UACGUAGGGGGCAAGCGUUAUCCGGAAUUACUGGGCGUAAAGCGCACGCAGGCGGUUCGUCAAGUUUGGAGUGACAGUUGUCGGCUCAACCGAUAAAGGACUUCAAAAACUGGUGAACUUGAGAGCGAGAGAGGAACAUGGAACUCCAGGUGUAGUAGUGAAAUGCGUAGAUAUCUGGAAGAACACCAAUGGCGAAGGCAAUGUUCUGGCUCGUUUCUGACGCUCAGGUGCGAAAGCCAGGGGAGCGAACGGG